ACUAGUUUUUCUUCCGGAUUAGUCCAACAUGGUCGCGUCCUUAUGAUUUACGAUAUAUGUACAGUCAAGCUGCAAAAAACUUGAAAACAUGCAAAUCAAAGAAAUAGUCAAGUGGAAUGUACGGGUGUCUAUGCUGUACGCUUUCGGUAUAUGGACAUUGCUCGGCACAUACGGAUAUUAUCAGUACAUGGGGCGCAAUGAAGAAAAGCCAGUCAAAGAAGAGAAGGAGGAAGAACCUCCAAAUCCUAGAGAAGUGACUAUCCAGAGUGCCCACAUGAAAACCACCAUCAUAUACAAGGAAAACUUUGUUCCUUAUUCUACAAGGAUCUACAAUUUUGUCAGCUCGCUCAGUGGGGACUCAGCAUCUGCAGACAGCCAAGACAAUACAAAGUAAUGGUGAAAAUGUACAUGGACAGAUGCCAUUGCCUGCCUAGGCCAUCAUGCCUAGGCUACCACAUUUUAGAUGUGUGUAGCUAAAUACUUAGUGUUAAUUCCUAUCUUGUAAAUUGUACUUUGAUUAUAUCUCUGUGUGUAAAAUACACUGAUUUAAAUUA